rnacentral:rRNA from 1 species
UACGUAGGAGGCAAGCGUUGUCCGGAAUUACUGGGCGUAAAGCGCGUGUAGGUGGUGGGACAAGUCUGCUGUGAAAGCGCCUGGCUUAACCGGGCGAGGUCGGCGGAAACUGUCCGACUUGAGGACGGUAGAGGGGGGUGGAAUUCCCGGUGUAGUGGUGAAAUGCGUAGAGAUCGGGAGGAACACCUGUGGCGAAGGCGGCCCCCUGGGCCGGCCCUGACACUGAGACGCGAAGGCGUGGGGAGCGAACGGG